GACGAACGCUGGCGGCGUGCCUAAUACAUGCAAGUCGAGCGAAUCACUAGGAGCUUGCUCCUGGUGGUUAGCGGCGGACGGGUGAGUAACACGUGGGCAACCUGCCUGUAAGACUGGGAUAACACCGGGAAACCGGUGCUAAUACCGGAUAAUCCUUUUCCUCUCAUGAGGAAAAGCUGAAAGUCGGUUUCGGCUGACGCUUACAGAUGGGCCCGCGGCGCAUUAGCGAGUUGGUGAGGUAACGGCUCACCAAGGCGACGAUGCGUAGCCGACCUGAGAGGGUGAUCGGCCACACUGGGACUGAGACACGGCCCAGACUCCUACGGGAGGCAGCAGUAGGGAAUCUUCCACAAUGGACGAAAGUCUGAUGGAGCAACGCCGCGUGAGCGAUGAAGGCCUUCGGGUCGUAAAGCUCUGUUGUUAGGGAAGAACAAGUACCGGAGUAACUGCCGGUACCUUGACGGUACCUAACCAGAAAGCCACGGCUAACUCCUUGCCAGCAGCCGCAGUAACAC
rnacentral:rRNA from 1 species